rnacentral:rRNA from 1 species
UACGUAGGGUGCGAGCGUUGUCCGGAAUUAUUGGGCGUAAAGGGCUCGUAGGCGGUUUGUCGCGUCUGCUGUGAAAACUGGAGGCUCAACCUCCAGCCUGCAGUGGGUACGGGCAAACUAGAGUGCGGUAGGGGAGAUUGGAAUUCCUGGUGUAGCGGUGGAAUGCGCAGAUAUCAGGAGGAACACCGAUGGCGAAGGCAGAUCUCUGGGCCGUAACUGACGCUGAGGAGCGAAAGCGUGGGGAGCGAACAGG